ensembl:misc_RNA Metazoa_SRP Metazoan signal recognition particle RNA
GCUGGGCAUGGUGGUGCAUGCCUGUAAUCCCAGCUAUUUAGGAGGCUGAGGCAGGAGAAUCGCUUGAACCCGGGAGGUGGAAGUUGCAGUGAACUGAGAUGGUGCCACUGCACUCCAUCCUGGGUGACAGAGCAAAACUCUGUCUCAA